rnacentral:misc_RNA from 1 species
UCAACAACACUGGAAACAUGAAUAGCCCAGGUGAGCAAAGAUAGCGCGUUGACGGGUUCACUGAGCUAACCGACAAAGGUAAAACUGUAGCUGAGGCGGGUCCUACUACGGUCAGCGCCAAACCAGCCCCAAGUAUGCCCGCAACGGUAGUAUAAUUGGAUUUGGAGGGUUUUCGUGUCACGGGAAUGUUUGAGGAGCAGCGGGAGUGCGGGUAGGUGGAACAGAGAGAGACGAUGAAAGGGUCUGUCUGGAUAUGUAAG